rnacentral:rRNA from 1 species
AUUGAACGCUGGCGACAGGCCUAACACAUGCAAGUCGAACGAGUGGCGGACGGGUGAGUAAUGUCUGGGAAACUGCCUGAUGGAGGGGGAUAACUACUGGAAACGGUAGCUAAUACCGCAUACCCUCGGAUGUGCCCAGAUGGGAUUAGCUUGUUGGUGGGGUAAUGGCUCACCAAGGCGACGAUCCCUAGCUGGUCUGAGAGGAUGACGAGACACACUGGAACUGAGACACGGUCCAGACGCCUACGGGAGGCAGAAGUGGGGAAUAUUGCACAAUGGGCGCAAGCCUGAUGAAGCCAUGCCGCGUGUAUGAAGAAGGCCUUCGGGUUGUAAAGUACUUUCAGCGGGGAGGCGUUACCCGCAGAAGAAGCACCGGCUAACUCCGUGCCAGCAGCCGCGGUAAUAC